UGCGUAGGCGGGGCAAUUAGUCAGUGGUGAAAUCCUGCGGCUUAACCGUAGAACUGCCAUUGAUACUGUUGUCCUUGAGUAUAGUUGAGGUGGGCGGAAUGUGUAAUGUAGCGGUGAAAUGCAUAGAGAUUACACAGAACACCAAUUGCGGAGGCAGCUCACUAAGCUAUAACUGACGCUGAGGCACGAAAGCGUGGGGAGCGAACAGGAUUAGAUACCCUGGUAGUCC
rnacentral:rRNA from 1 species